UACGGGGGGGGCAAGCGUUGUUCGGAAUUACUGGGCGUAAAGGGCGCGUAGGCGGCCUGCUAAGUCGGAUGUGAAAUCCCUCGGCUCAACCGAGGAACUGCAUCCGAUACUGGCGGGCUUGAAUCCGGGAGAGGGAUGUGGAAUUCCUGGUGUAGCGGUGAAAUGCGCAGAUAUCAGGAGGAACACCGGUGGCGAAGGCGGGUCUCUGGGCCGAUAUUGACGCUGAGGAGCGAAAGCGUGGGGAGCGAACAGG
rnacentral:rRNA from 1 species